CCUACGGGUGGCAGCAGUAGGGAAUCUUCCACAAUGGACGAAAGCCUGAUGGAGCAACGCCGCGUGAGUGAAGAAGGGUUUCGGCUCGUAAAGCCCUGUUGGUAGUGAAGAAAGAUAGAGGUAGUAACUGGCCUGUAUUUGACGGUAAUUACUUAGAAAGUCAUGGCUAACUACGUGCCAGCAGCCGCGGUAAUACGUAGGUGGCAAGCGUUGUCCGGAUUUAUUGGGCGUAAAGCGAGUGCAGGCGGUUCAAUAAGUCUGAUGUGAAAGCCUUCGGCUCAACCGGGGAAUUGCAUCAGAAACUGUGGAACUUGAGUGCAGAAGAGGAGAGUGGAACUCCAUGUGUAGCGGUGGAAUGCGUAGAUAUAUGGAAGAACACCAGUGGCGAAGGCGGCUCUCUGGUCUGCAACUGACGCUGAGGCUCGAAAGCAUGGGUAGCGAACAGGAUUAGAUACCCCUGUAGUC
rnacentral:rRNA from 1 species